UGAGGAAUCUUGCGCAAAGGGGGAAACCCUGACGCAGCAACGCCGCGUGAGUGAGGAAGGCCUUCGGGUCGUAAAGCUCUGUCAGAUGGGAAGAAAUGGAUGGGGGCUAAUAUCGUCCAUCCUUGACGGUACCAUCAGAGGAAGCACCGGCUAACUCCGUGCCAGCAGCCGCGGUAAUACGGGGGGUGCAAGCGUUGUUCGGAAUCAUUGGGCGUAAAGCGCGCGCAGGCGGCUUGGUAGGUCAGAUGUGAAAUCCCUGGGCUUAACCCAGGAAGUGCAUUUGAUACUGCGUCGCUAGAGUACGGGAGAGGAAAGUGGAAUUCCUGGUGUAGAGGUGAAAUUCGUAGAUAUCAGGAGGAACACCGGUGGCGAAGGCGACUUCCUGGCCCGAUACUGACGCUCAGGCGCGAAAGCGUGGGGAGCAAACAG
rnacentral:rRNA from 1 species